rnacentral:lncRNA from 1 species
CCUGCGCCUCUCCUCCGAGGCUUCCCCCCCUUCUGAGCAGGAACAAAACCAGCUGGUGGGGCCGCCCUCCGCCCGGCUCUCUUUCCAGCUUCUGCAAAGUGCUCCGGACGAGCGGAGCUCCGAGAGCGGCCGCCCCAGAUUUUAUCAGACUUCUCACGAAGCUGAUUCCGGGGGGAGGAAGCCAAGUAAAACUGGCCGUUUGGGUUCACGGACAAUGCAUUUCUGGGCAUGAAGUUCAGCUCUUUGUCCUGCUGUUGAAGCCAGAAAGAAUCCGGGGCAGGGAUGAGGGCAAGCGGAGACGCCACAUGAAGAGCCUCGGAGGAAUCGUCUGGAGAGCCCGAGCCAGGUACAGUCUGAUCAGCAACAAGAGGCCGUCCUGCUCUUUAGCAGAGUCAACUCACUGGCAGGGGAAGGACCUGGGAUUCGAAUCUGCGACUUGAGAAUGGAAACUGCUCACUCGAGGCCAAGCCUCCUCCCUCCGCAGGGAUCCACGUGGGAGCAAGGGCUCAGCUUAGCAUGGUAACCACGUGUUGGUGGCCUUUUGAACGAGGGCAUUUCUAGGGCACGAGGGACAAAUGGUUGAUUCGGUGGGCCACCCACCAGACAGCUAGGAAGUGAAGUGGACUUGACACCAAAUAAUUUCAUAUUCGAAUUUUCUUUUCCUCCAAAUCUACCCACUGAGAAGUCCUAGGGCAGGAAGGGACCUGAAAAGAAUGUCAGGAUGGAAGCUAUGAAUGUCUUUCUUUUGCCUUUUUUUUUUUUGAAGAGCCUUAUCUAAAGCUCCCUAGAUCUGCUUCCAUCUUAUACAGGAAAGUGAGUGAGUCUCACGUCCUCCAUUAGAAAACCAUCUCCAUAGGUCAAAAGAGCCAAAGGACUCUGGGGUUCUAUUUACAUCUUCAAAAAGCAAAAUUCAUUGCUAAGUUCAACACCCAUUCUUCUUUCACGGACCCUAAUUAAACUUGCACUUAUCAUCUUUUUCUCUGGCUUGUGUGACCCCGAAAACUCACGAGUGCCUUGUUGAGACGCUCACGUGCUGCCCUCUCUCCGCGUCCCACAAUCUGUGAGCUCUGCUGAUCCCGGUCCUCGCACAGGAAUCAGGUAAGGAAGAAGUCUCUGUGCCCAAGAGGUAAGUAG